rnacentral:lncRNA from 13 species
GGGGGAUUACUCUCAUGCUCUUCUCAUGAUCCUAAGUUCUCAUGAGAUCUCACGGUUUUAUAAGGGGUUUUCCCCCCUUUUCCUCAGCACUUGUUCUUGCUGCUGCAGUGUAAAGUAGGACGUGCUUCCCUUUCUGCCGUAACUAAUGGCGACUUGACUGGGUUUUACAGUUCCAUGGACACGCAUGAGCUCUAUCAAACUUCUGAGAGAUUUUCUGAAAUGUUUAUACAAAAAGCACCUGGAGCCCAUUGAGUUUCUCUCUUCAGAUGUCAACACUACUACAAAAGCUGAAAAAAUUCAUCACCAGCUCCUUCAGGCAGAAGGAAAAUGAUGCCAGGUGGAAAUGUGGAUCUACACAAAGGAAUAAACAACCCUAGAGAUUAUGACUAUGUGGUUAA